AACCUUUUAUUCUAGCCUUCUUUCUAGUGUUGAGGCCAAUGACGUAUAUAUGGCAUUGUGUGUCGCGCGAGUGUGUUAAUAGAGGUGCGUUCCACUUGACGCUCCCAAUGAUCGCGCACGUCAUUCUGUCUUUACUUGGUCACUGAACAUUGAAUAAAGAUAGAAUGAUGCUCGCGAUCGGUAGGAGCGUCAAGUGGAACGUACCCUUCUUCUGUUUGUUAAUGGUGAGUACGUGCCGAUUGUGAAUAUCGUCGUCGUUGAAUAGUGUCGCGCAGUAUAAAAGGAGUUUUAAGAGACGAGAGAAGAAAAUAGUGAAGAACUUGUGGUUCUUUAAUUAUAAAUAUUGGUGGUAUACCUGUAGAAUUUUACAAGAUUGUGGUGCACAAAAACGGGUUGCUUUGCGCCCAUAAGGACGGGUCGCUGUGCGCCUACAAAGACGGGACGCUGUGCGCCUACAAAGACGGGAUGCUGUGCGCCUACCAAGACGGGACGCUGUGCUUCUACAAAAACAGGAUAUUGUGCGGCUACAAAGACGGGACGCUGGGCGCCUACCAAGACGAGACGCUGUGCUCCUACAAAAACAGGAUAUUGUGCGGCUACAAAGACGGGACACUGUGCGCCUACAAAGACGGGUCGUUGUGCGCCUACAAGGACUGGUCGCUGUGCUUUUAUAAUACAUCUAUAAAAAGUCUAUAAAAAGUAUAUACAUAUAUUUUUACGCGUGUAUACACACAUAGACAUAUAUCAUUAUUAUAUUAUAUAUAUAAAUAAAGAAAAUGUCUGUACAAAAGAUAAAUAGUAUUGUGACAUUUACUGAAAAAAAUAAGAAUGAAAUUGUUCGUGGUGAAUGGUUAUGGGAUGAUGAUAUGAAUCGUUUCAGUUAUCUUUUACAAAAUUAUUCCAAUUAUAGACCUGUUGAAACGUGGCGAGUGCAAUUACUUGAUACAAUACAACCCAUACCGACAAAUGAAAAGCAUAUACAAUUUUUGUAUAGUCCAUUAUCGAGAGGUAAUACGAAUGGUAAUUGCUUAUUGUAUAGAAGAGGUCAUUGGGUAUGUAGUUAUUACGAUAGAAAAAAUAUAUUUAUUUACGAUUCUUUAAAUAAUAAAAGAUUAGAGAAGGAU